rnacentral:misc_RNA from 1 species
AACACAGUGUUUUGAUCGGCGCGGCGUGUAUAAAGAACAAUUGUUGUCUGCUAUGGAAUGAUACGGAAGGGGAUAGAAGCGUAAUCACUAAGUUACUGAACUGAUAUCAUUCAUGGGCGUCCUUGAAUAGCCCCUCCUUUUGUUUAAAAAUAGUAGAAAAUGGGAUCUGUGUGGAAGCGUCUUCAGCGUGUAAACAAGAGAGCAGCCAAAUUUCAGUUCACUGUCUCCUACAAUGAACUGGUGGUGGAAACAACUUCCAAAUGGCAACCAAAUAUGCUGUCAGUGACAUGGACCCGUCGUAAUCGCAGACUUUCCACAGAACCUAGAAAAUGGGAUCCUACCAUGAAAAACCCAAUGAAAGGUUUGGUGGUAUGGACUGUUCCAGAAAACAAAGAAGCCUCUAUUACACUGUUUGGAGACCCAAGAUCCCAUGAUUUUGAAGAUAAAAUGUGGACCUUUUUUGUUGAAGAUAUUUCUAGUACAGGAAAGCGCCGCCAACUAGCCAGUGCUUGCUUAAAUAUGAAAUUGUAUGCUAGUAUGGUACCAAGUCAACAGCCAGUAAAGCUGAAGAUGACAAUCUCGUCGAAAAAGAUCGUUUCAGCAUCUCUCAACUUGACCGUUUCUUGCGUUUUCGUUAGAGAAGGAAAAGCCACGGAUGAGGACAUGCAAAGCUUAGCAAGUUUAAUGUCAGUCAACACAACAGGAGACAUCGCUCCUUUAGAAGAUUUCGAAGAAGAAGAUUGUAUCGAACCCAACUCAGAAUUAUUGGACCUUACUUCACAAAUCAGUCAAUUUCUUAUGGAAACUGAAGAAGGCUAUCAGGCGGUAACAGCGGAAAAGGUAGAUCCGCCAGUCGUCCCAAAAACAAAUGAAAUCAGCGAACAGAUGGCCGAGAAAGAAGUUUCAGACUCAACUCCGAUAAUCCAAGAAAGUUCGAAGCCUAGACCUACAACAUUGGACCUGAAUACCCAUGCUGAACCUGCUCCCGUCUGUCCUACGGUUGAUCAACCAGAGGAAGAACGUUUGACAUUGAAUCAUCAAGUGACAGAUAUGGCAGUCAAAGAUCAACCGAUCGAAAUUCAAACACCAGUUGUUGCUCAGUCUACCUCAGUGGCAGUAAACCCUAGCAAAGAUCUGCUCGAGUGGUGUCAAGAAGUCACGCAAGGCUAUAGUGGAGUAAGAAUAACAAAUAUGACAACUUCCUGGCGGAAUGGAUUGGCCUUCUGUGCCAUUUUGCAUCGUUUCCGUCCAGAUUUGAUAGAUUUCGAGUCAUUGAGCUCUCAAGAUACUCGAGGCAACUGCAAGUUAGCUUUCGAAACGGCUGAGAAACUGGGCAUUCCUCGAGUAAUAGAACCUGCCGAUAUGGUUUUAUUAAAUGUGCCUGACAAAUUGGCCGUCAUGACGUAUCUGCAUCAGUUGCGGGCCCAUUUUACUGGUCAGGAGAUGUCGGUUGCUCAGCUUGCAGGUGGUACCGAGGAUUCUUCCUACACGUCCACCUUUCAAAACCCUUCGGAUAACCAGUUGGAAAGGAGCGAAAUCACACGGGAGAUUAUUAGUCAAGAACUGAAAGAAGAGGCCGGAAGGAGACGAAGGCAGAGCAGCGGAAGCGGAAGUGGAGUUAUCUUCCGUCGUGAACGGAUUAGUCCCAUGGACGAAAAUGUCAUGAUCGCUUCCGGAACGGCCACUGCCGCCGCAGCCGUACAGAUGGUCAAAGACAAGGCGAAAUCCCUCACGUCAGAGUUAAUCAAAUUUGGCAAAGUGUUAUCGCCUACGAAAGAGAAAUCGCCUUCUAGCCCUGUAGAAUCUCCAGUCCGACCCAGUCAGGUAAGGAACGGUCCUCCGUUGAUGACUCGUCAGCAACUGACGGACCCGUUCGGCUCUGACGAUGAAGACGAAACACCAACCAAAGUGGCGAAUGAAAGCCCGGAACGACGCCCUAGUCCGAGAGAAGAGUCGGCGGAAAAGAUCCGACGUGAUAGUCAAGUCCCUUCUUUAUUGGUCAUCGCCGGAACGGCCGAAGAAGAACUCGAGGUGAUCAAAUCGAAUCCACGAGACUCGAAAACAGAUGAUUUGAAGGAGAGAGCUCGCAAACUACUGGAACAAACCAAAAUAGAAGCAGCUGCUUCUUCGUCGGUGAAAUCGUUAUCGAAACAAGGUUCCCAGGAAGAGGACGAACGUCAGCAGCAGUUGAGAGAACGAGCUCGCAAGUUGAUUGCUGAAGCUCGUCAAGGUCUGUCGACACCCGCAUCGACACCCGUCACGGAAUCGGUGAAUAACGGCGUGAGCCGGAAGAGUUCCAGCAGCCGUAGUCACAGCCACAGUCCGAGUCCCAGCCCGACGGAAUCAAUUCAAAAGUUCCUCAGUAGCGGUGGCAGCCGCUUGCAACACCUCAAAGGAAUGGUAGACAAGGCUCAAGAGGCUUCCAAUCGCAAAUCAAAGACACCAGAUCGUGAAAAAACGCCGGUGUAUAUCGGCAACGCCAGUGCGGCCGCCGAAGGCGCUAGACGUGACACGAGCAAUUACAUAGCCAACGAACUGGAGACGCUCGAAAAGGAGCAGUUGAAGAUUGACCAGCAGGCGGCCAUUUUGGAGCGUAAACUACGCAAGCUGAUGGAGCCCAGCCGUGGCGGUGGCGGCCCUGGUGUCGGUGUGGGAAACCGCAACGAGACCGAAGAACAGCUCAUGCAGCAAUGGUUUACAUUGGUGAACAAAAAGAACGCUCUCAUUCGCCGACAAAUGCAACUCAACAUUCUUGAGAAGGAGGACGACCUGGAACGGAGAUUUGUCCUACUCGACCAAGAGCUGCGUGAUAUUUUAUCGAUUGAAGAUUGGCAGAAGACGGAAGCGCAGAAGCUGCGCGAAAAACUGCUGCUCGAAGAAUUGGUGGCCAUCGUCAACAAGCGUGACGAGCUCGUCCACCACUUGGACAGUCAAGAGAAGGCGAUCGAAGAAGAUGAUCUGAUUCAAAGGGAAGUACACAACGCUGAUUUGAGCAAUCACGACCGGGGCUGCGUGAUUCAAUAAUAGUGGGUCGAAACUACUAAACCCUGGCCGUCUUCCUGGGCCCUCCACGGUGGGAAAACGGAAAUUAUCAAACGGAACAAUAAUAAUUCGGAAUCAUAAUAAUUAAUCAUGCCAUAAAAUUAAGCUUUGAUUUUAAAAAAUAAUAAGAAGAAUAAUUAGCGUAGCCGACGCUAAAAUUAUCGCAAUGGCUUUUUUGUUUCCUACAUGUAGAUCACAUUGAAAAGAGAGAAAGAAAAAGAUUCUAUUUCGCUACCCCUUGGCCACCCUUCCCCACAACUCAUUUCGCAUUUGAAUACUCCUUUUUUUUUUCUAAAGAAAAGUGCUAGUUUAAAUAGUUCCAUCGACUUUGUAACGAAAGAGCGUGAUAAACUCCCCUACCCUGCUCCCGCGAAAAAUGUUAGCGCGUCACGUGUGCGAUGGUUAAGUUGUGUGCUGUAUCUCCUCCUAACAAUCCAGAGUUGCCUGCAUCUCCUAAAUGCUCUGGUCUCUAGCUCAGCCUUUUUCGUAUUUCCCGCCUCCUCAUUUGAAAUGAAUUGCAUCUUAUUCCCCCCUCCCUCCCUUCUUAUAUCCCCUCUCCCCCGUAUGAUAUAUACAUAUUUGGACGGCGUCUAGUCGGAUAACUUUCAUGCGCGAAAAAAAAAAAUACAAGUGAAAAUUGGA